AUGCAGUCGAACGGCAGCACAGNGAGAGCUUGCUCUCUGGGUGGCGAGUGGCGGACGGGUGAGGAAUACAUCGGAAUCUACUCUGUCGUGGGGGAUAACGUAGGGAAACUUACGCUAAUACCGCAUACGACCUACGGGUGAAAGCAGGGGANCUUCGGGCCUUGCGCGAUUGAAUGAGCCGAUGUCGGAUUAGCUAGUUGGCGGGGUAAAGGCCCACCAAGGCGACGAUCCGUAGCUGGUCUGAGAGGAUGAUCAGCCACACUGGAACUGAGACACGGUCCAGACUCCUACGGGAGGCAGCAGUGGGGAAUAUUGGACAAUGGGCGCAAGCCUGAUCCAGCCAUACCGCGUGGGUGAAGAAGGCCUUCGGGUUGUAAAGCCCUUUUGUUGGGAAAGAAAUCCAGCUGGCUAAUACCCGGUUGGGAUGACGGUACCCAAAGAAUAAGCACCGGCUAACUUCGUGCCAGCAGCCGCGGUAAUACGAAGGGUGCAAGCGUUACUCGGAAUUACUGGGCGUAAAGCGUGCGUAGGUGGUCGUUUAAGUCCGUUGUGAAAGCCCUGGGCUCAACCUGGGAACUGCAGUGGAUACUGGGCGACUAGAGUGUGGUAGAGGGUAGCGGAAUUCCUGGUGUAGCAGUGAAAUGCGUAGAGAUCAGGAGGAACAUCCAUGGCGAANGCAGCUACCUGGACCAACACUGACACUGAGGCACGAAAGCGUGGGGAGCAAACAGGANUAGAUACCCUGGUAGUCCACGCCCUAAACGAUGCGAACUGGAUGUUGGGUGCAAUUUGGCACGCAGUAUCGAAGCUAACGCGUUAAGUUCGCCGCCUGGGGAGUANNGUCGCNAGACUGAAACUCAAAGGAAUUGACNGGGGCCCGCACAAGCGNUGGANUAUGUGGUUUAAUUCGAUGCNACGCGAAGAACCNUACCUGGNCCUUGACAUGUCNAGAACUUUCCANANAUGGAUCGGUGCCNUCGGGAACUC
rnacentral:rRNA from 1 species